CCUACGGGCGGCAGCAGUAGGGAAUAUUGCUCAAUGGGGGAAACCCUGAAGCAGCAACGCCGCGUGGAGGAUGAAGGGUUUAGGAUUGUAAACCCCUUUUGUGAGAGAAGAAAAUGACGGUAUCUCACGAAUAAGCACCGGCUAACUACGUGCCAGCAGCCGCGGUAAUACGGAGGGUGCAAGCGUUACUCGGAAUCACUGGGCGUAAAGAGUGCGCAGGCGGGUUUGUAAGUCAGAUGUGAAAUCCUGUAGCUUAACUACAGAACUGCAUUUGAAACUGUGAGUCUAGAGUGUGGGAGAGGUAGGUGGAAUUCUUGGUGUAGGGGUAAAAUGCGUAGAUAUCAGGAGGAAUACUCAUGGCGAAGGCGACCUUCUGGAACGCUACUGACGCUGAGGCUCGAAAGCGUGGGGAGCAAACAGGAUUAGAUACCCUUGUAGUC
rnacentral:rRNA from 1 species